ACCCCAGUAGCUCAGCUGGAUAGAGCACCGGUUUCCUAAACCGGGGUCGCAGGUUCGAGCCCUGUCUGGGGUACCA
rnacentral:tRNA from 1 species